GAGCACGGUGUACAGUCUGGACACUGCAGAACCUGUAUCUGUCCUGUUAGGGCUGAACAGAUAAAACAGCUGUUGACUCCUACUUUUUAGUACCAGCUCUCAACAGAAGCCAAAGCAAACACACUCCUAUCUCACUAUUACCUGUCUGUGAAGUAGCUUCCCUCUUUACCUAGUUCCUUGGCAAAACAUGAUUUUAUCUGCUCCAGUAUGGUCAAAAAUACUACGUAUAAGUAAAUACAAGCCUGAAGGCUCCAUAGUGACAGUACCACUUGCCUUCGUGUGCCUUCAGGUACUGCCCUGUGGACAAAGACCAGCAGUUCAGCCCCCCUCCCCUCCCUGUGCUGGUGUUUCUGAAGUGUUCCCAUCUUAGGUGAUUUUCUAAGUAAUAGGUUUUGAGUGACUAUGGGAUGCUUCUGCCAAGCAAUAUAAAUCAAAUUUUGCAUACCUCAUACCAAUCUAUACAGUCACGCAUUGAACUGUAUCCAUUCAGCUCUUCCUGUUGCUUCCAUAUCUCUAGAAAUAUCCUGAGUCAAGAUGCCAGCCCUUCCCGCACCCCAUACUCCAGAGGCUGGUCUGCUGAAUGAUGGCUGUAUCUGCCCUGAGGACAUUGUGAGCCCCAUUCCCAGUUAUAAGCUGCAGAUAUAGCAUCUCCUCCCUUACGUAUUUCUGUCUAUGGAAAGAAAACCAAGGAAGUAUGAGGCCAGAUGGGGUGUGAUGACUUUCCACCAGGUCCCUGAACAAUAACCCAGGGAUCAGAUGUCAGGGUUCACUGUGAAGUACUCAUACCACAAAGCAAAGUUUCCAUAGGCACUGAAGUGACCUUAGGAGCCAACACUUGGAAACAGCUUUUUGCUUUAAAAACUAGUGAGCUUCCCACAUCAUUACUGCACUUCAUGCAAUGACAUGGCCUAAAAGAACUUGGCAGUUUUCACCUCUCAGGGAGAGUUCUGGACAUUCUUCUCCUUGAAUCCCCUUCUAACCCUCUUUCUCCUUCUGUGAACCUUCCUCCUGGUUUAAACUCUCAGUUAAAAAUAGAGAUUUUUCCCAUAAAGAACCUAGCUCUGGAAGUUGCUUGCACAGGUUGGUCUACUUUGAUUUUUUUGUGUGCACUCAAGAUACUCCUGUCUGGAAAAUAACUUCUGAGCAUGCAAAGGAGGUUGCUUCAUUAAUACAAUGGUGCACACCUGCUAACUGCAGUUAAAGAGAUCUUCAUGUAUUACUACUGAAACUGGCAGCAAUUAAUAGAACAAAUGAUUCAUCUUCCAAAGCCCAAACAGACAAAUGGUCUCUCUGGCUGCCUUUAUGCUUUCUAAUCAGCUUACUGUUAGAGCACAUUUUUUGCACAGCCCACUUGCAUUCAACCUUUCUGCACUUUUGGUGGUUCAUUACCUUAUGUUUGGAAGUAGCUAGACCUGUGCCGGUACAAAAAGGCUGCCCAGCAACUUCUAGUAAUGACAGAGAUGUCAGCAGCACCCAGCUGGCUUGACUCAGCUCAUCCAUACCUUUCAAACAUGCCUUCAGAGGUAAAUAGAAACACCUGCCUGUCUGGGAGGUGUCAAAUGGUGCUAGGGAGAGGCUUCAAAACUGGGCCUUACUGAGUAAAAUGGCUUUGGGAUGGCAUCCUGGUUGGGUACAUUUGUAUGUGAAGAUGCCUUAUGGAUGGGAAGGGCUGUCUGUAGAGUGGCAUGACAAUGCAGACAGGACUGUUGCUAAAGGCUGUGCUGAAGACACAGGAUGUGGUAUGUGCCACCUGCUUUCUGAAACAAGAGGUAUGUGAGGUGGGGGCCAGGCUGCUGAAAUGCUGCUUAAUGCUGCUCUGAGCUUGAGUUUUGUGAUCCAAGAAACCCAAAGCUGAAUUUUGAUGACUUUUAUAACUUGGGGAGAUGUAACCUGUAGCAUUUCUCUGUGGAGCUGCUUGCAGUCCUAUCCUGGUAAACUUGGUUUCUAAUAACAGAGCAAUUUUAAGGUUGUUAUAGUAAAUAUAAGUGGUGAAGAUCUUCCAGGUGCCGUGUAAUGAUUGCAUUUUAAAAAUAAUCUGUGGAUUAGAAAGAACACAUUAAAUCAAACUCUUUGCAGUCAUCUGAGACUCAAUAUCUUGAUGCUUUUGAAAUAACAAGGGCUGAUGUUCUGGCAAACCUUUCCUCCCCUGAUCCUUGUUUCUUAGGCCAGCUUUACCUUGUCAUGAUUGUAGCCUAUGCUAAGAAGCUAAUCAAUAGCUGGGUGAAACAGACUGGAAGAUCUCUGGAGCAGCCUAUAAUGCUACUAAUCUCUUAGAAUAAAGACCCAGUUUUGAAGAUGUGUACUGCUUGAAUAACUGUUUGCUCCAAAAUGUUACUCUGCAUUUCCAUCAUUUGAAUGUUUCCCCUCCUAUUCGCAAGUUCUUCACCAGGCAACACUACUGUGCUUUGUAAAUAAGAGUGCGUAACAGACAGUGAUUUUAUCCUCAUGGUCUCUUACGAGGUCUUUAUUUUCUAUCAAGUUCAAAGCAGUUCUGUGUAGAUAAAAGGUUUGUGCUUCAGAUUCACUGUUUCUUUUUGCCACUGAAUUUUUUCAUCUAUAUCAAGUCAUUAUCCCUCUCCAGUUCUUUCCAGACAUCUCCUUCUCUAGCUGCUUCUUUGUACUUCAGUCGAUGGGAGCUUCAUCAGCUCAAGUACAUUAGGAAUUAAGCUGAGAGCAAGUAUGCUAUGAAAAUUCCCAUUAUUUCCUGAGAUAAGCAUCCAUCAGAAACAAAACACACACAAAGAUGGAAAGGAAUCAAGUGUAUGCUGGGUAAAACAAGGAAACAGGCAAGUGUGGGAGUGAGGGGAAGAUUUGUUAAACUUGCAUUCAACUCGGUGGAAAGAGAAUGCUGCCAAGACAGUCUGUAUCUGAAAUCAGCAUACAGUGCUUUGGGAUGGUGAUUGUCAGUCUGCUAUUUCCCAUUUUGUUUAAUUUUUAAUCCAAAUUGUGUACUAAAAAUAGGGAGCAUUUUGGAGCUGAAAAGAUGUGAGUAGCAGAAGGAGGAAAAAACAGAACAUGCAGAAGGAAUGCUGCUGUAGCUGAAACAGCUCUGUUGGGAUUUCUAGCUCUGUAUGUCAGUCAUUUGUGGUUAUAGAAUGCAGACUUACCUUAUCUGGGCCAUUGCGGCAGGGAGACACUGUGGUAGUCCCUCUGUAAAAUAAAUGAUAAGUCAUAUCCUGUGAACAUAGAGGGAUGGUUGCAUUCCUCUUUGGACAACCAUAACUGGAAUAUGUUAUGGAAUAUGGGCAACAAUUCACCCAUCCUGUUCCUAACGAAGUAAUAUUUCUACAGCUACUACCAUUCCUUUUCAUGUGUCUGAAGAGCUUUGCACUGCUAUUUGUUAAUAGCAGCAAGUUUUUACUUUUGGGGAAGUUUUUACAGAAGUGCUGGAGCCUCCUGUUUUCAGUUAGCAUUGCUUCAGCAUGGCUAGUUUGUCCUGGAUGGGAAAGCCAGGAGAUGUUUAUCUGGAUAGGAUUGUGAAACCUUUAUGUUUAUGCAUUAGCCUCCUCUCCAGAGAAGACUGUGGAAUAUCUUGCCUGAAGUCCCAACUCAGCAUCUCUUCUGAAGAGGCCCCUUAAAAAGCAGAGCAAUCUCCUCUAGGCUAAGCAAGGAAAAUCAGCUGGAGGAGUUAAAAAGAAAAAGCAGAGGAAACCUAAUCUCAUCUUUGAACAGAUGUGCCUCCUGAGUCUCCAAAGUCCUCUAGCAUGAGUGCAAGCAUGUGGUGCAGAGAGUACUGAUUUCAGCAGCCAUCGGAGGUUCUGCUGCCUCUUCUGACUUCCAUGCGGUAUGUUGAGACUGUUGCCUUUGGCUUUCCACAGAGCAGCAGAUUCUGGGUGACAGCAGUGCAAAACAGGAAACUUCCAGAAAUUCAGAUUUUGUUUGGGUCCAGGAUUCACAAAGUUUUGUGAUCUGCAUCAUAAUCUCAAAUUGGUGCCUAAUUUUGGAGGACCUUUGUUUAAAGGUGUAUGGGAACUGUUGAGUCAUGGCCUGAACUACUGACUGAGUACCUGGGGAAAGGACCAUACCAGCCCUGGAAGUGCAGGUGAAGGCAAUUCAGCUCUGUAAGCAGAAGUUAUAGAUUGUGUUGAUCCGACCAAUUGCUACAAAGGACUAAAAUGCAUUUAUCUAUAUGGCAUUAAAUUUUAUAUCAUUUGGAAAAUUGCUAAGCCCCCCCUGCUCCCCCCACUCCUCCUUUCCAGAGGAUGGGAGAUAUGAAGCUUACUUAAGUUUCUCCAACUAUGCCCACCUAGAAGAAUCAUACCUUGUCAAAACAGCUUCUUCCUUGGAAAAUGCUGGCUCGUUUAACUAGAGCACAAGAUAUUUUAAAAUCAUGUUCCACAUGUUUUGUUUUCUACCACUUUUAAGUCUAAUAACCAGUUUUUGUUGAGAGUAACCAGGGAAAACAAAAGGGAUUUAAGUGCUUAAGUCAGUGGACCAUAGCUUUCUGAUUUAUGAUGGCAGUGAUAGAAAUUAGCCACUAAGAGGCUUCCAGAUACACCACCUGAUGUCUGCUUAGAGAUCCUGCUUAACUCUUUAAAAAUCUAGCCCCAUGAAUGUUAGAACUGUGUGGCGUACUUGAAAGCCCUCUGUGGAACUGUCAGUUGAGGAAUUGGCUUUCUUCUCCCAGAGUGCUUAGAAAAGUGGGUUGUAGGUUUUUCUUAUGUAUGUUUUUUUUUUCCCUUCCUUAAUGUGCUUUGGAAGUGACAGCAAUUUUGGAGUUACAACCAGCUGUAAGCACCCAGGGCUCAAUAAGGAUGCUUUCUUUCUGAGAGGAAAGGAUCCAGCUGAGCACUGAGCCAGGUGAGGCUCCAGAAGGCAGUGGACUGUGUCCAGCUCUGGUGUGAUAGACUGCUGGUUCCUGAGCUGCAGCGUGCACUACAAACCUGAUGUGAUUAUGCCCUUAUCAUGUUCUGAAAUUCAUGUACGUCUUUAUAGCUGAAUUGGUUCCCAAACAUGACAGUCCCUCUUGUCUUCUGUCACUGCUGAGUAAAAGACAUUGGGGACAACUGGAAGCAAAUUACUGGUAUGGCUGUAACUGAGCAGUCAGCCACAAGCUGAGCUUAAAGCUGUUCCAACUGCAACCAGAAGCUGCUCUGUGGAGGUGUGUGUUUGGACCAUACUGCGUGUUGUCUCUGUAAAAGAGGAUAGCAGGGCUACGUGUGCUCUGUCUGUUCUCCUUGGCAUCCCUGCAGCUUGACUUCUCUUGCAGGUGGGUGCUGGAAAACUUGAACCUUCCAGGGCUCAGCCCUUGUAGGUGGGAGGAAGUUAAAAGAAGACUUCUCUUGCAUCUUUCACUGAAAGAAUUCCCCAGUCAGGUCUGAAGUUCACCACGAGCAGUGGAAAACUAGCCUGCUGUGUAGGAUCACCUGGAGCAACUGCUCCUCACAGUCAGAACUAACUCCUGAUAUCCUGAUGACACAUCAGGAUGGCAAUCCUUUAACACUCACAGAGUGGUUUUUAUCUUCUAAGCAUUAUGAAUAUUAGCUAAUAAAUCCUCACAAAGCCUGAGGGAGUUACAGAGGUAUUGUUAUAAGCUGGGGCCAGCAAAGCAUUUCAGUUGUAGUUGUGCCUCAUGCUGUGGCUACUGCUGGCAUGGGUUGGGGCAGAGAUUAAAAUGUUACAAACUAAAAAGCACUCUCCUUUUGUCCUCCAACAACUGACAGUUCGGUGAGGCUCUUCACAGAGCAGGAGGACCUGGGAUGCAAAACCAAGUGGGGCUGUGUCUGCCCAGCCUAGAGCAGUGCUGCCAGCUGCAGCCGCUGCCUGCUAACCAGUGGCUCCCAGGCUACACGUGGGGAGCUGGGGCACUGCUGAGCCUCUGGUGGGGCUGCACAGUGCAAUGCCCAGAAACCCAGUGCCAGCUCCUGCUGGAGCCUGUGUCUGCACACCUCAGCAGAAGGCACAAGUAGCUCUGUAGGAGUGGCACAUGCUGCAAUUGCAGUACAGAAACUGCAGCCCUUUCUUGCUGUGUCUUCCAGAGCCCUAUUAGCAGGGGUGAAGCAGCAGCCUUGGAACAUCUUGCUGCCCUGAUAGAAAGGAAAUAUGCUCCUCUUUAGCAUAGAUAAGGGCCAUCUGUGCAUGGCUGAAGUGAGAUAACAUUUAGGAACCUCCCAGGAUAUUAAGGCGGCACUUUUCUUUGGAGUCUCGUGCUGUUCAGGCUCAUGGCAGUGCUCCCUUUGAACUCUCUGUGGUUUGUAGUUCUCACCACUUGCUCAAAAUGAAGCAGAAUGCAAUGGUUCAUCUAAUAUUAUGGCUCAAGGAGAGUGUAUGUAACAGUACCUGUGCUGAUAUGAGCCAGUUGGUGUUUGGACAUCACAGGCCUCUGCAUGGUGCUCCCAAAGGAGCACAUGUAUUUUGCUAAAUCCAUCCAUCAAUAAAACUUAUGCUACCUGCUUCUAGAUGUCUUUCAGCAUUUCUGCCACUGAAGAUCUUCUUCUCCGGCCUCAAGUCAAAAAAUCUUUGUGGCAGAUUUGGCGUUGCCUGUAAUAAUUUAUGAACGUGAUGUGUUGACAUGUUUACUGUGUGCAUACAUUGAGCUACUUCAAUCGCUGCCUUGUCAGGAAGUGUACCCAGGAGAGAACAGAUGAAUCCAGGCACGUGGUUUGGAGGAAACACUGGGGAGCUGAAGCAGAAGUGCCCUUUGCUGUGACAUUUUGGCUGUGCCCCUGCUGGGCUCACAGGAGAGGUUUCCCUGGGAGGACAUGGGUGCCCUGGAGAAUUCACAGUGAACCAUUUAAAUGGAGACUUUGGAGAGCAAGAACCCAAAAGGGAAUGGAAGUGCUCAGAUCUACAGGUAUCUAAUUCAGUAUGUGUUGGCAAAACUGCAAGAUAAAGUGGAUGAGGAAUGUUUUUUUUAACUGCCGUGCCUUAUUUCAGUGGUUAAAUGGCUCUUCUGUUUUAUUAAUAUCAUUUGGGCUGUUCAAGAGAGCUCAAUGCUUCUGUUCCCAUGUCCAUGUGGGAGCACGGUGAUUGUGCUGGGUAGGCUGGCUGAAGUUUGGCAAAGCCUGCAUGCAGGAAGGUGAGAGCCUGAGGUCUGGCAAAAGCAGAAGGGAAGACAGAAAGAGCACUGACAGCUGAGAUCCGGCAGUAACCAUAACAAUACCAUCAUCUUUCUUAAAAGUCCCAGCACGUAAUUCUACUAAUGACUUUUAUUAAACAUUUAAGCCUUAGCCUUGAAAUGAUUCGUAUUUGUUACAAAGCACCAUCCCAUUAACACAAAGUACAAGCUGAAACAAAGUUAAUGAGCCCUAGUGCUUGCCGGAUAAUUCAAAGUUUGAGUGAUAUUAACAAAAAUAAAGUAAGGAAGAAAUCUA